rnacentral:tRNA from 1 species
GGGCGUGUGGCUCAGUUGGUAGAGCGUUCGCUUAGCAUACUACUCUGUAUGCGAAAGGUCCUGGGUUCGAUUCCCAGCUCGUCCA